GUGGGGAAUAUUGGACAAUGGGCGAAAGCCUGAUCCAGCCAUGCCGCGUGUGUGAAGAAGGUCUUCGGAUUGUAAAGCACUUUAAGUUGGGAGGAAGGGCAGUAAGUUAAUACCUUGCUGUUUUGACGUUACCGACGGAAUAAGCACCGGCUAACUUCGUGCCAGCAGCCGCGGUAAUACGAAGGGUGCAAGCGUUAAUCGGAAUUACUGGGCGUAAAGCGCGCGUAGGUGGUUUUGUAAGUUGGAGGUGAAAUCCACGGGCUCAACCUGGGAACUGCCUCCAAAACUGCAUGACUAGAGUACGGUAGAGGGUAGUGGAAUUUCCUGUGUAGCGGUGAAAUGCGUAGAUAUAGGAAGGAACACCAGUGGCGAAGGCGACUACCUGGACUGAUACUGACACUGAGGUGCGAAAGCGUGGGGAGCAAACAGGAUUAGAAACCCGGGUAGUCC
rnacentral:rRNA from 1 species